GUCCCCCUCCACAGCUUUCUAGGGGUUGAAUUACUGCUAAAACCAGUGAAAUAAAACACUCUGCUGGGGUAAAUUCAUGAUUAAGCCCAGAAAAACAAACACAGUAUUCUCAUUGAUCUUACAAAUGGUUGUGUAGGGUGCCUGGGUGGCUCAGUUGGUUAAGCGACGGCCUUCGGCUCAGGUCAUGAUCCUGGAGUCCCGGGAUCGAGUCCCGCAUCGGGCUCCCUGCUCAGCGAGGAGCCUGCUUCUCCCUCUGACCCUCCCCCCUCUCAUGCUCUCUAUCUCAUUCUCUCUCUCAUAUAAAUAAAUAAAAUCUUUAAAAAAAACAAACAAACAAAAAAAAAAAACAAAAAAAAAAACCAAAUGGUUGUGUGAAGUUCUGUUUCAAAAUAAAGUGCCAGCCCAUGGCCGCGCCUCCCGGGGCCCCUGCCCGCCGAGCACAGCGAGCCCUCCCGAUGGCAGGCUGCGAGGAGGUGAGCGUGUCCGGCUUGGAGGAGUUCCACCGGGCCGUGGAGCAGCACCAUGAAAGACCAUCUUCGCCUACUUCACUGGCUCUAAGGACGCUGGGGGGAAGAGCUGCUGCCCUGACUGCGUGCAGGCUGAACCGGUCGUACGAGAGGGGCUGAAGCGUAUUAGUGAAGGAUGUGUGUUCAUCUACUGCCGAGUGGGAGAGAAACCUGACUGGAAAGAUCCAAAUAAUGACUUCAGAAGAAACCUGGAAGGGAGUGCAGUGCCUACACUACUUGAGUAUGGAACACCUCAAAACUGGUGGCAUCUCAGUGCCUUCAGGCCAACCUCGUGCCAAUGCUAUUCUCUGAAGAUUAAGAUUUGAUGGUGGCAAUUGUGUCUGGAUUUCCUGAUUUCCUCUUAGUGUAAAGGCAAUUGCAUACUUGCUUUGAAUUCACGUUAGCAAUAAAUAAAUGAAGCGCCAGGGAUUUGAACAGGAGAUGCUGGUUGUGUACAUGUGGGUGUCGGGUUUGUGUGGGCCUCACAGUUGCCACCAUGAACUUACCAUUCCCUGUGUGCCCGCAUUGGCUGUGGUCAUUUUACAUUCAUCCUGUGGACUUCCCUUCAAGACUAGUUUUCAGGGUACACAAGAUAAUGUUAAUGGGUUAAAAAUGUACAGAAAAAUAGAAAGUGAUCAUUUCCUCACUUGGAGCUUUCCUCAGCGCCUUUAAAAGACUACACAGUUCACAUUUUCAUAGUGGGCAUGCACCUUUUUUGUGGUACACACAGUAUGGCUGCACUUCUUGAUGAGUUAAUAAGAGCUUUUGUUUGGAUAGUGUGCAGUUUCCUGUCCUUCAGAAAGGAGAGUUGACUCAAAGCCCCCUGCCCUCUUCUGUGCUCUCUCUGGAGGGUGUAUCGUAGCUGUGGUCAUACUUGUGACUGAGCCUUGAGUUCAAGAGAGUUGGAGAAACCCCCUCUGGAAGCAUCUUGGUUUUUAUCAAAGGUUCUCCUUUGCCUGCCUGGGAUGCUGACCCCAGUUUGUCCCAAAGCAGGAGUGAUGCAUUUUCCACUAGAUGAAGGACAUCUGAGGAUUUGUUCCCUCAACUUCAAGGUUUUUCCAUACAGUCUUGGUAUGUUCAGUGCCAGGUCCUACUAUACACUUGCUGCUGUGCUCAGCAGGGUUCUCCUGAGACCUCCAUCCUUCAUCUACAUGACCACUUAGUGUGUUCUGGGCACACUGUGAGGAGUGGGGCACCUGGGCGACUGAGAUGGGAAUCCUGUCCUUGAGCAGGGAGGGAGUUUAAUGCCUGGUGUAGGUGAGCAGAGUACACUGAAAUCUAAAAAGAGAAGGAAAUUGAGCACAUGGCUUUGUUGGAUUCUUAAUCACCUUGAAAAUUUUGUCUCCAAAGUAGGAUUCUUCUCCAUUCUUGAGUGCACUCAGGGUACUGAGCCUGAAGGGCGGGUGGUAGUGAAUUAGUAAAGUUAGGAUAAGUAGCAGAGUGGAUUCUUACAAAUGUCACAAAAGGUGACAUUUAGUGCUCCAAAAAAUCAUUUACUGUAUAUCUUAUGUGAGUCUCGGACUCUUUUAGGUAUAUGAAAUGCACAAAACACCAAAAGAAUUUUGCCCUCGUAGAACCUACAUUCUGGGUGAGAAAACAGCAAUGUUCUUUAACUUCCAUAGCAUGUUAGAAGGGAAUAGGUUCUGUGGAAAAGAGAAAAGCAGGACAGCGGUGAAGAAAAACACAGGAGAGGGAAGAGUCCCAACAUUAAGACUGUUCACAUUAGGGCUGGUAUGGAUGAUGUGUCUGGCAUGUAUUUUAAAGAGGUGAAAGAACAAUCUAUUUCUUCCUUUCUAAUGCAUAUACGUAUACAUUUUUUCUUGCCAUACAACACUAGGUAGUUUCCGUAAUGUUGAACGCCAGGAGAUCCCAAUUAUUUUUCUUUUGUCUCUGAUCUUGGGUGAAAUAUUAACAUCAUAUGUAUGGCGUGUGUUGUAGAAUCUUUUCAAUGUUUAAGGAAAAUCCAUUCUAUACUUUGUGGGUUUUUUUUUUUUAAAGCCAAAGAAUGAGUGAAUUAGCAUCAAAUUAUAUUUUAUGCA